CAUCGCCUGGCUCCUGUGGUCACAUUUAUGGGAUUUUAGGGCUUCCAUUGGUCCAGGGUGUGGCUGAGGGAUUCCUCGAAGGAAGUGCUAGAAGGGGCUUAUAUGAACCUGUGAACAUCUGCCCGCGAUACAGUGGGAGGAGCGGACCGGAGAGACUGAGAUGAGGUUGAGUUCAUGUGAACCACCCAUGGCGCCGGACUGUUACGGCCAUCAGUAAAUCUACCAUCUCACUGCUAUCAAGCAUGGAGGGAGACUCAUCUCGCACUCAAAUAUCUCCGUGGGGAAUGGAAAGAUGGCAGAGAUGCAUGCCGAGGCCACUCCUUUUAUCCGGGCCAUAGAAAGAGAAACAUAGGCUUGGCUGACAAGGAAAAUGCAACAUUUUCCACACCGUGACACCUCACAUCUUCAAAUUGAUGCCUUGUCUAAAAUAGACAGAAGGAGACUCAUUGGAGGUCAUGGGAGGGCUGAGCUGACAAUCAAGCGACCGGCUGUCACUCAUAGCCCCAUCACAGCUCCAUCACCAGCCGCGCAGCGUCGAAUCUUGUGACGACCACAUGACUACAAUGGCACAUUUCUGUUCUUUUUUUGACA